GUAUGAUGUUGAGGGGUUGAACAAUCUCACAUCAACAAAUAAGAUAAUAUUCAGUUCAGGAAUAUAAAAAAAUCCCCAACCUCCUCUUAUUUUAUUUUAUAAAAUAGGUCUUAUUUUAAAGAACUAUUGGAGGGGGACUUACCUGAUGGCGCAGUGGUUAAGACUGCACACCCAACGCAGGGGGCCCGGGUUCGCUCCCUGGUCUAGGAACUAGAUCCCACAUGCAUGCCACCACUAAGAGUUCGAAUACCACAACUAAGGACCCUAUUAAGGAGUCCGCCUGCC